rnacentral:lncRNA from 1 species
GCGGCGGCAGGGGCGGCGACGGCAGCGGCGCAGCUCCGCUCCCCGCGCGUCUCCCGUCCCCGCGCCCGGACAGGGCGCGCAGCUCUGCUGCCGGGAUGCGACCGCCCGCCCGCCGCGGCCGCCGCCUGGCGCUCCCGGCACUGCUGGCGUUGUUCACCUGCUCCUUGGCUUUUGCUUUGGUUUCUGAAGAUAUGAAGAAAGAGGUCAAACAAUCUAAGGUACUAAUAAUUCUAAUGAUCAAAUCUAUUCUCUCUCUCUGCAAUUUGUUUUUAUUUUCUUUAAUGGGAGUUGUAAUGAUUUCAACUUUCAAUGGUUAUAAAAUUUUUUAAAAUGAUUUAGUGGAACAUAAAUUUUUGAAUCCAUAGCAGCCACCCACAAAUAGUCUUGCCUAAAAAAAUGCUUUAAUAGUUAAAGCACAUCCACUUGGUUUUAGAUUUCAUUUUAAGAAAAAAGGUACUUUGGUAUCAAGCUGGACUUUGUAUUUUUAGGGCUGUACUCACAACAUAUGGAGGUUCCCAAGCUAGAGGUCGAAUUGGAGCUGUAGCCCACUGGCCUACACCACAGCCACAGCAAUGCCAGAUCCAAGCCAUGUCUGCAGCCUGCACCACAUCUCACAGCACCACUGGAUCCUUAACCUACUGAGCGAGGCCAGGGAUCGAACCCACAACCUCAUGGUUCCUACUCGGAUUCGUUUCCACUGCGCCACGACGGGAACUCUGAGCUGCACAUUGUAAAAGUCCUUCUUGGAUACGAUUGUUUUCUCCAGCCCUACUGCAUCAUAACCCUGGGCUUCAGAAAGGAUUACCCUGUGCCCAGGUUGCAUGAACCUGAGUGUCUGUCACCUUGAAGCUGGCCCCGGGUGAGAGGGCAUCUUGGGGACUGGCUGAGAGACCCCAAAGAUGACUGCCAGGGUCCUCGCACAAUCAGAACCAGAAACCGAGACCUGGGGCCCGAUGGAGGGGGGACAGCGCUUGUCUAAAUCUCAGAGCUGCUCCCUUUCCCUGGUUGCUGGUUGCGCUCAAGAACUGCAUCUAGGGGUUCCUGCUGUGGCACAGUGGGAUCAGCGGCAUCUUGGUAAUGCCAGGAUGCAGGUUCAGCCCCUGGCCAGCCCCCGUGGUUAAGGAUUUGGUGUUACCAUAGCUGUGGUGUAGCUCGCAACUGCGGCUUGGAUGUGAUCCCUGGCCCCACGAACUCCGUGUGCUGUGGAGCUGCCAAAAAAAAGAAAAACUGCCAUCUAAAUUUUACUGUUUGCGGUUGCAUUAGAUCAGUUUAGCAUAUGAGGAAGAGAAUCUUUUAAAAAUAGGAGUUGUUUUUGUCAUAUUAAUUAAGGCUCAGUUGAUUCUAUUUUUUUACCCUAUAAUGAGUAUAAAAGCAUUUUAUUUAUUUAUUUAUUUGGUCUUUUUGCCUUUUUCCAGGGCCACUUCCCACAGCAUAUGGAGGUUCCCAGGCUAGGGAUUUAAUCCGAGCCACAGCCGCUGGCCUUACGCCACAGCCACAGCAAUGUGGGUUCCGAGCUGCAUCUGCAACCUACACCACAGCUUACGGCAAAGCAGGAUCCUUAACCCACUGAGCAAGGGCAGGGACCGAACCCGCAACCUCAUGGUUCCUAGUUGGAUUUGUUAACCCCUGCGCCACGACGGGAACUCCUAAAAGCUUUUUAAAAUAGAAUGUUUCUUUUACCAAGUAUGAUCUGUUCUGAGUAAAUCAUGGGAUUCCUACCCAGGGGAGAUGAUAGUAAUUCCGUAUGGUUUUAAGACGUUUAUGGUAAAUAAGGCAUUUUCAGACAUUUCAUUUAAUUUGAUUUUCUCAGGGAUCAUGCUAUUGCUAAACAAAGCAGAUAUUUCCAUGUGUAGUAGAGAAAAUUUACCGUCAGAAAUUAAUGUGACCGAGGUCACAUGACUAUUAAAAGGUGAAGUUGAGUUCUCUUGUGACGUGGUGGGUUAAGAAUCCAGACUUGUCACUGCUGCGGCUCGGGUUGCUGAUCCCUGGCCCUGGAACUUCCACAUGCCAUGGGUGUAGCCAAAAAAAAAAAAAAAAAAA